UACGUAGGUGGCGAGCGUUGUCCGGAUUUACUGGGCGUAAAGGGCGCGUAGGCGGUCAGCACAAGUCAGUUGUGAAAUCUCCGGGCUUAACUCGGAAAGGUCAACUGAUACUGUGCGACUAGAGUGCAGAAGGGGCAACUGGAAUUCUCGGUGUAGCGGUGAAAUGCGCAGAUAUCAGGAGGAACACUGGUGGCGAAGGCGGUUCGUCUGGGCCUUACCUGACGCUGGAGGAGCGAAAGCAUGGGGAGCAAACAGG
rnacentral:rRNA from 1 species